rnacentral:rRNA from 1 species
CCGGUUGAUCCCGCCGGACCUGACUGCUAACGGAUUGAUACUAAGCCAUGCGAGUCAUUGUAGUAAUACAAGGCAGACGGCUCAGUAACGCGUAGUCAACCUACCCUAUGGACGGGGAUAACCUCGGGAAACUGAGAAUAAUACCCGAUAGAACAUUAUGCCUGGAAUGGUUUAUGUUUCAAAUAAUUUAUUGCCGUAGGAUGGGACUGCGGCCUAUCAGUUUGUUGGUGAGGUAAUGGCCCACCAAGACUAUUACAGGUACGGGCUCUGAGAGGAGUAGCCCGGAGAUGGGUACUGAGACACGGACCCAGGCCCUAUGGGGCGCAGCAGGCGAGAAAACUUUGCAAUGUGCGAAAGCACGACAAGGUUAAUCCGAGUGGUUUCUGCUAAAGGAACCUUUUGUCAGUCCUAGAAACACUGAUGAAUAAGGGGUGGGCAAGUUCUGGUGUCAGCCGCCGCGGUAAAACCAGCACCUCAAGUGGUCAGGAUGAUUAUUGGGCCUAAAGCAUCCGUAGCCUGCUUUGUCAGUUUUCAGUUAAAUCCAUACGCUCAACGUAUGGGCUGCCGGGAAUACUGCAAAGCUAGGGAGUGGGAGAGGUAGACGGUACUCGGUAGGAAGGGGUAAAAUCCUUUGAUCUAUUGAUGACCACCUGUGGCGAAGGCGGUCUACCAGAACACGUCCGACGGUGAGGGAUGAAAGCUGGGGGAGCAAACCGGAUUAGAUACCCGGGUAGUCCCAGCUGUAAACUAUGCAAACUCAGUGAUGCAUUGGCUUGAUGCCAAUGCAGUGCUGCAGGGAAGCCGUUAAGUUUGCCGCCUGGGAAGUACGCACGCAAGUAUGAACUUAAAGGAAUUGGCGGGGGAGCACCACAAGGGGUGAAGCCUGCGGUUCAAUUGGAUUCAACGCCGGA